rnacentral:lncRNA from 1 species
GCUGCCCCACGGACAGAUCGGACCCACGGCUGGACCCAUGGCCGGACCCACACCUGCCCCAUAGAUACCCCAGCCCCACAUCUGCCCCAUGACUGCCCCACAGCUGCCCCAUGGACAGACCCACGGACAGAUCUGACCCACGGACAGACCCACAGCCAGCCCCACAUCUGCUCCCCACCACCACCACCCUGCCCCAUAUCCUGCCCCAUAGAUGCCCCAGCCCCACAUCUGCCCCAUAGCCAGCCCCACAUCUGCUCCCCACCACCACCACCCUGCCCCAUAGACACCCCAGCCCCACAUCUGCCCCAUAGCCAGCCCCAUGGCUGCCCCAUAGAUACCCCAGCCCCACAGCUGCCCCAUAGCCAGCCCCAUGGCUGCCCCAUAGAUACCCCAGCCCCACAGCUGCCCCAUAGCCAGCCCCAUGGCUGCCCCAUAGAUACCCCAGCCCCACAUCUGCCCCAUAGCCAGCCCCACGGCUGCCCCAUAGAUACCCCAGCCCCACAUCUGCCCCAUAGCCAGCCCCAUGGCUGCCCCACGGCCAGGCCUGCCCCACAUCUCCCCCCCCCCCCCCCAGCCCCCCCCCCACCCGCCCCCCCCCCCACCACCACCCUGCCCCAUAUCCUGCCCCAUAACCUUGCAAUAAAGGCCUGGGUGCAACCACGUGGGGAGAUUUGGGGUUAAUUUAAGGGAUUUUGGGCAAUUUGAGGAAAGGGGAAAAUUGCGGAGGGGCUGGGGGCUCUGGGGAGGAAUUUUGGGGCUAAUUUAAGGGAUUUGGGGCAAUUGGGGAGGGGCAGGGUGAUUUGGGGCUAAACUGCGGGGUUUGGGGGUUCCGGGGGAGAUUUGGGGCUAAUUAUUAGGAUUUGGGGCAAUUUGGGGGAGGGAGCGAAU